UCCAGUCUCAGUUUAACAGUUGUUUUGUUUUUGUCCCACACAGGAUUAUGCUGUUCAAUGAAUUCCUGUAUUUUCUCAGAAUAAUUCAGGGGGUUGAUCACUGUCUAUCUCUAUCCCCUGUUUCUACAGUUUGAUGCUGUUUUUCCCCAACUAGUGUUCCUAAAACUUUGCAGGGCUUUUUAUCUCUAAUAUUCUCACACAGCAUCUCUGAUAUUUAUCUCUGAUAUUACCACAUUUUUAAGUUAUCCCUUUAAAUAUUUGCUUUCAGUGGAAUAUGUUAAAGUUAACUUGUAUAAAUGGUAUUUUGUUAUUAACUACUUUCUCUCCUUGAGCUUGCUCAGCUGAACUGUGUCAUUUGCCUCUAUUUUUACUAUUAAAUAACCUUUGGGCCCCUCAAAUCCAGUGUGUGACCUCCUCCUGUCCAGCUUUGCUGGUCCUACCAGCUCACAUUAGCCACGAGAAAAACUUUCUUCUAUUCAAAAUUAAUAAAAUGUUUUUUUAUCUUGGAAAAUGAACAGGAAUAACUGUUUUGGAAUGAUGUUAGAAUUGAGUGCUUGGAUUUCCUGACACAAUAAGAUGUAUGUUUUGUGCACAAAUCUGAUGCUUUGUCAGCACUGAAAUAUUGCAUUUUAGGUUCUGUGGCAGAAGUGUUUUAACUUCCACAUGCCAUUGAGGUGUUUGGCCUCAUGGGUGGAGAUAUUUGGGUACAUUUUAUCUGUAUUAAUGCUCACUGUGAACAGGCACUUUUACAUGGGGGAUAUUUCCAAUCCUUAUUUCCCUGGGGAGAGCAGGACCUGGAAGCUGAGAUCCACGAGCUGCAGAAGAGUUUCCAAGCACCCUGGCAGCUGAGAAGUUAUACUAGGCAUCAUGAAUGUCAAUGAUUUUGUAAUUCUCCCAGGCUCAAAAGCUGGAACCUCUGUGAGAUUAAAAACAAAAACUGUCAAGGAAUUGCAGUUGGAGAAAGCUCAGUUAGAAACGGAAAACAGAGAGAUGGAGAGAAGAUUAUUGCAGCUGCAGUCAAACAUGAGCAGAGAAAAAGAAGAGAGGAGGUAGGUUCAGUUUCUCUGUAGAAAAAAGGAAUUCAAUGAGAUGCUCCCUCCACACUGCCAACUCCUCACAUGGGAUUGCUUGUAAAGUUUGGACUUCACAAUUAUAUUCAGUCUCCUCUCUCCAGUCUUUCUUCUCAAUGUUCAACUUGCUUC
rnacentral:lncRNA from 1 species